rnacentral:rRNA from 1 species
UGGGUAACCUGCCCUCAGCUCUGGGAUAACUCCGGGAAACCGGGCUAAUACCGGAUAGGACGGAUCUCGGCAUCGGGGUCUGUGGAAAGUUUUCGGCUGAGGAUGGGCCCGCGGCCUAUCAGCUUGUUGGUGGGGUGAUGGCCUACCAAGGCGACGACGGGUAGCCGGCCUGAGAGGGCGACCGGCCACACUGGGACUGAGACACGGCCCAGACUCCUACGGGAGGCA